AUUGAACGCUGGCGGCAUGCUUUACACAUGCAAGUCGAACGGCAGCGCGGGCUUCGGCCUGGCGGCGAGUGGCGAACGGGUGAGUAAUGCAUCGGAACGUGCCCAGUAGUGGGGGAUAGCCCGGCGAAAGCCGGAUUAAUACCGCAUACGACCUGAGGGUGAAAGCGGGGGACCGAAAGGCCUCGCGCCAUUGGAGCGGCCGAUGUCGGAUUAGCUGGUUGGUGGGGUAAAGGCUUACCAAGGCGACGAUCCGUAGCUGGUCUGAGAGGCCGACCAGCCACACUGGGACUGGGACCCGGCCCGGACUCCUACGGGAGGCAGCAGUGGGGAAUUUUGGACAAUGGGGGCAACCCUGAUCCAGCCAUGCCGCGGGCGGGAAGAAGGCCUUCGGGUUGUAAACCGCUUUUGUUCGGGAAGAAAUCCUCUGGGCUAAUACCCCGGGGGGAUGACGGUACCGGAAGAAUAGGCACCGGCAAACUACGU
rnacentral:rRNA from 1 species